rnacentral:rRNA from 1 species
UACGGAAGGCAGCAGUGGGGAAUAUUGCACAAUGGGCGCAAGCCUGAUGCAGCCAUGCCGCGUGUAUGAAGAAGGCCUUCGGGUUGUAAAGUACUUUCAGUCGUGAGGAAGGUGUUAAGGUUAAUAACCUUAGCAAUUGACGUUAGCGACAGAAGAAGCACCGGCUAACUCAGUGCCAGCAGCCGCGGUAAUACGGAGGGUGCGAGCGUUAAUCGGAAUUACUGGGCGUAAAGGGCACGCAGGCGGUUAAUUAAGUUGGAUGUGAAAUCCCCGGGCUUAACCUGGGAAUGGCAUUCAAGACUGGUUAGCUAGAGUCUUGUAGAGGGGGUAGAAUUCCAUGUGUAGCGGUGAAAUGCGUAGAGAUGUGGAGGAAUACCGGUGGCGAAGGCGGCCCCUGGGACAAAGACUGACGCUCAUGUGCGAAAGCGUGGGGAGCAAACAGGGAUUAGAUACC